rnacentral:rRNA from 1 species
UACGUAGGGGGCAAGCGUUGUCCGGAUUUACUGGGCGUAAAGCGCGUGUAGGCGGUUGGGUAAGUCUGCUGUGAAAGCUCCUCGCUUAACGGGGAGAGGUCGGUGGAAACUGCUCAACUUGAGGACGGUAGAGGGGGGUGGAAUUCCCGGUGUAGUGGUGAAAUGCGUAGAUAUCGGGAGGAACACCAGUGGCGCAAGCGGCUGACUGGCCGAGACCUGACGCUGAAGCACGAAAGCUAGGGGAGCAAACGGG